GAUGAAGAACGCAGCGAAACGCGAUAUGUAAUGUGAAUUGCAGAAUUCAGUGAAUCAUCGAAUCUUUGAACGCACAUUGCGCCCCUUGGUAUCCCGAGGGGCAUGCCUGUUCGAGCGUCAUUUCACCACUCAAGCCUGGCUUGGUGUUGGGCGACGUCCCCUUUGGGGACGCGCCUCGAAACGCUCGGCGGCGUGGCACCGGCUUUAAGCGUAGCAGAAUCUUUCGCUUUGGAAGUCGGGGCCCCGUCUGCCGGAAGACCUACUCGCAAGGUUGACCUCGGAUCAGGCAGGGAUACCCGCUGAACUUAAGCAUAUCAAUAAGCGGAGGA
rnacentral:misc_RNA from 1 species